rnacentral:rRNA from 1 species
UGAUUUUUAAUUUUUUAUUUAUUAAUUUAUAUAUUUAUAGAAAUAACUUUAUUUUUAGUAUUUUUUAAUGAAAUGAUAAUUUUUAUUUAUAGUUUAUUUAACUGUAAGGGUUAAUUAGUAUCUUUAUCUUGGAAGUAGAAUUUAUUUUUUGUACCUUUUGCAUCAGGGUUUAAUCAAGUUAAUAUUAAUUAUUUUAAAUUUCCCGAUUUUAGAGGAUAUAAUUAUAAAUUGUUAUUUAAUGUUUCAAAAUUAUUAAUAAAUUAUAAUUAGUUGUUAUAUGCUAUUCAUCUUUAAAUAUCUGGUUCUUUAAUAAGUGAAUUUAAUUCAGGAUUAUUAAGUAUAUAUUAAUUAAUUUUAUUAUUAAUAUUAUGUUAUAAUCUAAAUUUAAAGGGGAUAAGCUCUUUGGGAUUUUCUAUAAAAUCAAUUUAACUGUUAUAAAUUUUGUAGGAUUAGAAAUUUUCUUCAUAUAUUUUGUUAUAAUUAUAUUUAUUGUAAUUUUUAUUUAUUAAAAGUUUUUAGAUUUUUAUUAAGGGUUAUUAUAAAAUUGAAAAUUAAUAGUUAUAAUGAUAGAAUUAGUAUAUUUAAGAAUUAAUGUAUAGUAAUUCGGCAAAUUUAUUCUUCACCUGUUUAACAAAAACAUGUCUUGAUGUGAUAUUUUUAUUAAGUCUGGCCUGCUCAAUGAUUUCUGUAUAGAAUUAAAUAGCCGCAGUAUUUUGACUGUGCGAAGGUAGCAUAAUCAUUUGUCUUUUAAUUGAAGGCUUGUAUGAAUGGUUGGAUGAGGGAAUGACUUUCUUUACAUUAAAUAUUGAAUUUAAUAUUUCAGUUAAAAAGCUGGGAUUUUUAAGUGGGACGAGAAGACCCUAUAGAAUUUUACUUUGAUUGUUAUAAGUAUUAAAUUGUUAAUAUCAAAUACUUACAUAUUAUGGAGUUUUGUUGGGGUGACAAUGGGAUUUAUUUAACUCCCAUAUAUUUUUAUUUAUUAAUUUAUAUAUUAUAGAUCCCGUUUUAAGGAUAGUUAGAUUAAAUUACCUUAGGGAUAACAGCGUAAUUUUUUUGGAGAGUUCAUAUCAAUAGAAAAGUUUGCGACCUCGAUGUUGGAUUAAAAUUAGAUUUAAGUGCAGCAGCUUAAAUUUCUAGGUCUGUUCGACCUUUAAAUUUUUACAUGAUCUGAGUUCAGACCGGCGUAAGCCAGGUCGGUUUCUAUCUUCUUAUAUAUCAAUAUAAACUAGUACGAAAGGACCAUUUAUAUCAAAUAGUUUUGUAUUUUUGAAUAUUAUUAAAUUC